rnacentral:rRNA from 1 species
GACGAACGCUGGCGGCGUGCUUAACACAUGCAAGUCGAACGGAAAGGCCCUGCUUUUGUGGGGUGCUCGAGUGGCGAACGGGUGAGUAACACGUGAGUAACCUGCCCUUGACUUUGGGAUAACUUCAGGAAACUGGGGCUAAUACCGGAUAGGAGCUCCUGCUGCAUGGUGGGGGUUGGAAAGUUUCGGCGGUUGGGGAUGGACUCGCGGCUUAUCAGCUUGUUGGUGGGGUAGUGGCUUACCAAGGCUUUGACGGGUAGCCGGCCUGAGAGGGUGACCGGCCACAUUGGGACUGAGAUACGGCCCAGACUCCUACGGGAGGCAGCAGUGGGGAAUAGUGCACAAUGGGCGGAAGCCUGAUGCAGCAACGCCGCGUGCGGGAUGACGGCCUUCGGGUUGUAAACCGCUUUCGCCUGUGACGAAGUGUGAGUGACGGUAAUGGGUAAAGAAGCACCGGCUAACUACGUG